AAUGUAACAUAAUGUGGAAAAAGUCAAGGGGUCAGAAUACUUUCUGAAUGUACCUGUAUAUGAUCUAUAGUUAUUCAAUGAAGAUGAUGUUAAAAAAACACUGCAAGAAAAACACACAAAAAAUAGUGUAAAUGAAGGUCAUGUCUUUAAGGUACGGUGAUCAUGUCUUUAAGGUACGGUGAUCAUGUCUUUAAGGUACGGUGAUCAUGUCUUUAAGGUACGGUGAUCAUGUCUUUAAGGUACGGUGACAGCACGACAGAAGAUGAAACGUUCCUGUGUUUCCUUUUCAUUAGUAUAUAUUUAUAUAUUACAUGUCUUUAAUAUAUUUACGUUUCAUUUGGAGAUGUCAGUCUGCCAUGUCUGUCGCGAAGGACACACCCCUUUUUUGGGGAGAAACUGAUACUGUCAAACUAUUGGCAGGGACUUGAUGAAAGCCUUACUGCUCUCCAAUUGGCUGCGUCAGAGUUCUCAUGCUAAUGAGGCUCCCUCAUUUCUGUCCAAUGAACUGGAGGAAGGGAGAAACUCACCAAUCAACAGCCAACAAAGUUCAAUUCUAUUUGAAUUGAAGUGAAUGUACAUAAUGUACAUGUCUGUAUGUUAACUUAUCUUUCCUUGGAUUCUUUAAGUUUCUUUUCAAACACGAUGGCUAUAAAUGGACUAACUACAUCA